CCUACGGGUGGCAGCAGUGGGGGAUAUUGCACAAUGGGGGAAACCCUGAUGCAGCGACGCCGCGUGUGGGAAGACGGUCCUCUGGAUUGUAAACCACUGUCCCCAGGGACGAAGAUGACGGUACCUGGGGAGGACGCUCCGGCUAACUACGUGCCAGCAGCCGCGGUAAUACGUAGGGAGCGAGCGUUGUCCGGAAUUACUGGGUGUAAAGGGAGCGUAGGCGGGACUGCAAGUUGGGUGUCAAAUCUACCGGCUCAACCGGUAGCCGCACUCAAAACUGCAGUUCUUGAGUGAAGUAGAGGCAGGCGGAAUUCGUGGUGUAGCGGUGAAAUGCAUAGAUAUCACGAGGAACCCCGAUUGCGAAGGCAGCCUGCCGGGGUGCGACUGACGCUGAGGCUCGAAGGUGCGGGUAUCAAACAGGAUUAGAUACCCGAGUAGUC
rnacentral:rRNA from 1 species